ACUGGUCGAGUCGGCCUGCGCGGAAGAUGUAACGGGGCUAAACCAUGCACCGAAGCUGCGGCAGCGACACUAUGUGUUGUUGGGUAGGGGAGCGUUCUGUAAGCCUGCGAAGGUGACCUGUGAGGCAUGCUGGAGGUAUCAGAAGUGCGAAUGCUGACAUAAGUAACGAUAAAGCGGGUGAAAAGCCCGCUCGCCGGAAGACCAAGGGUUCCUGUCCAACGUUAAUCGGGGCAGGGUGAGUCGACCCCUAAGGCGAGGCCGAAAGGCGUAGUCGAUGGGAAACAGGUUAAUAUUCCUGUACUUGGUGUUACUGCGAAGGGGGGACGGAGAAGGCUAUGUUAGCCGGGCGACGGUUGUCCUGGUUUAAGCAUGUAGGCUGNGUCGCAAGACCAAAGUGGGGGACCUUCGGGCCUCAUGCCAUCAGAUGUGCCCAGAUGGGAUUAGCUAGUAGGUGGGGUAACGGCUCACCUAGGCGACGAUCCCUAGCUGGUCUGAGAGGAUGACCAGCCACACUGGAACUGAGACACGGUCCAGACUCCUACGGGAGGCAGCAGUGGGGAAUAUUGCACAAUGGGCGCAAGCCUGAUGCAGCCAUGCCGCGUGUGUGAAGAAGGCCUUCGGGUUGUAAAGCACUUUCAGCGGGGAGGAAGGCGGUAAGGUUAAUAACCUCAGCGAUUGACGUUACCCGCAGAAGAAGCACCGGCUAACUCCGUGCCAGCAGCCGCGGUAAUACGGAGGGUGCAAGCGUUAAUCGGAAUUACUGGGCGUAAAGCGCACGCAGGCGGUCUGUCAAGUCGGAUGUGAAAUCCCCGGGCUCAACCUGGGAACUGCAUUCGAAACUGGCAGGCUAGAGUCUUGUAGAGGGGGGUAGAAUUCCAGGUGUAGCGGUGAAAUGCGUAGAGAUCUGGAGGAAUACCGGUGGCGAAGGCGGCCCCCUGGACAAAGACUGACGCUCAGGUGCGAAAGCGUGGGGAGCAAACAGGAUUAGAUACCCUGGUAGUCCACGCCGUAAACGAUGUCGAUUUGGAGGUUGUGCCCUUGAGGCGUGGCUUCCGGAGCUAACGCGUUAAAUCGACCGCCUGGGGAGUACGGCCGCAAGGUUAAAACUCAAAUGAAUUGACGGGGGCCCGCACAAGCGGUGGAGCAUGUGGUUUAAUUCGAUGCAACGCGAAGAACCUUACCUGGUCUUGACAUCCACAGAACUUUCCAGAGAUGGAUUGGUGCCUUCGGGAACUGUGAGACAGGUGCUGCAUGGCUGUCGUCAGCUCGUGUUGUGAAAUGUUGGGUUAAGUCCCGCAACGAGCGCAACCCUUAUCCUUUGUUGCCAGCGGUCAGGCCGGGAACUCAAAGGAGACUGCCAGUGAUAAACUGGAGGAAGGUGGGGAUGACGUCAAGUCAUCAUGGCCCUUACGACCAGGGCUACACACGUGCUACAAUGGCAUAUACAAAGAGAAGCGACCUCGCGAGAGCAAGCGGACCUCAUAAAGUAUGUCGUAGUCCGGAUUGGAGUCUGCAACUCGACUCCAUGAAGUCGGAAUCGCUAGUAAUCGUAGAUCAGAAUGCUACGGUGAAUACGUUCCCGGGCCUUGUACACACCGCCCGUCACACCAUGGGAGUGGGUUGCAAAAGAAGUAGGUAGCUUAACCUUCGGGAGGGCGCUUACCACUUUGUGAUUCAUGACUGGGGUGAAGUCGUAACAAGGUAACCGUAGGGGAACCUGCGGUUGGAUCACCU
rnacentral:rRNA from 1 species